AUCCAUCUGGGAUAGCUCAGUUGGUAGAGCAUUAAUCACAGGGUUGUGGGUUCAAGCCCCACGUUGGGCA